rnacentral:lncRNA from 1 species
UUGCUCAGGUAAGGAGUCUUUGGAUCCUUCCUUUUGAUCUCCUGUAGCUUGCUAUAUUUAAUAGUUUUGGUAUAUAGGUUGGAAAUUAUCUAGCCAGCUUUGUCAGCUCCACCUCUGAAGCUUCAGCAUUAGAGCUUGCAACAGUGAAGGAAGAAAUAGACUGACUGAAGUAUCUUUUGGAGUAGGAACAAUCGGCUACCGUCGAGUUGACAAAAAAAGUCAACUCUUCUAAGGAUGCCCUUCGAGAAGCCUGAGAAAUGAUCGAUCAUCGAGAUGACAAAU